GCUGUGGGGGGACACAGAAACCACAGCAGUAAAACCCUUUCCACAGGGGUGCCCUCUGGCACAGGCACGACCGCUGGGCAGCUCUCCCCAGGCCCCGUGGCUGCUGGAGGAGGAGCAGUCUGAAGCCCCCAGCCCAGGUUGUGUGUCCGGCCCCGCACGGUGCCCAGGGCAGAGCGGCUGUGCCCGGACAGCGGCUUCAUUCAGCACUCCCACUCCAUUGUGCCUCAAGGUAGCUGGGCAGAACAUUUCCACUCCAACCAAUUUACUUGACCAGCUGCUGCCUGAAUUGCAGCUUUGUCUAUUCUCUUCCCCUUUCUCCCGCUGCUACUUGACCCCGCGGUGAAGUCACCAGCGGGCCAUGGCAUCACAGAGUUGGCACAAACAUGGCAGUGACGUCACAAGGAAAAAAUAACCACUUGGAGAUCAGAUCAGACCCGGGCAGGCCUGGUCUCCACAGAAGACAUGGCUUUAACUGACAGCUCUGGGAACUGGCAAACCCUUUCCCUGACAUCAACAGAACCCCCCUGCAAUUCAGAGCGCCCGAGAGAUUUCUCAAUAUAGGCUGCUGGCUCUCCAAAGGCAGUGUGGGAGCUGCAAUGCCUGGAAUGAGGCCCGGGGAUGGAGGCGGCGGAGGGCGGAAGGCUGUCACGCUCACACACACACUGCAGCUCGUGUCUGAGGCCCUGCUAAGGCCUCUGACAGCACCAGCUCCACAAACACCUUAUCUACAAAUGCAGCAGCUGCAUCUUUCAUCCUCCAUCCCAGCCCCCUGGGCCGCAGGGCUGUGCUUCGCCAGGAACAUCAGAGCGAGCCCCGCACUCACUCCCGUGUGGAAUGGCUCCAGGAACGGGGCUGGGGAUGUGAGAGCCUUUCAAGUGGCACCAAAGCAGCCACUGCUGAUGGCAUCCGUACCUCGGUGCAGUGCCACGCCUCUGGGACUGUGCCAUUCCAGACUGCCAAGCAUCUGGAGCGGGGCUCCAGGCAAAGGGCUCCCAGCACUGCCUCGCUGGCAGGAGGCUCAGCUAGAGGUGUCUGCAGGCCCCUGAGGGCCUUGGGGUGGGUAAAAGGGAAAAUUGGAAUGCUGGGGAGCGAAAACAUGCAGGGUGCACACACCAGUUCAGAACAAAACCAGCUGGGCAAUGGACAAAACCAUCCAGCUGCACCCAUGUCCUGCUGUGGGAAAACCAAGGAAACCUCAGGUUCUCCUUCUCUGGAUUUCCUCCACUUGCAGUUCACAGUCAUUUGACUGAACUCUGCAAAGAUCUUGACUCCUUCCACACCACCUGCACCACAAACACCUCCUCUCUGUCCUAGAAUUUGUUCUCCUCAGCCUCCUGUUGGCUCCUAUGUUGAGACAGGGCAAUUCCACUCUUUCCUGUCCCCAUACUUUAUACAGGUCAUAACAUAGUUGUAGGAGGGCUUUUACAGUAUAAAUUACACAGGACACUGAUUUUUCAGUAGUGUAACACUUGUCUCUUACCUUUGGAUUUUAUGGCAGUUACUUUCUCCUUCCGUGUCUCAGUCCUGUAAAAGAUUUCAAAUAAUCAGCACAAUGUCACAGAUUAAAAGUGACUUUUUAAAAAAUACUGUGAGAUGGUUUAAAAAAAAUAUCAGUAAGUUUUGUAACUACUUUUUUUUUU